rnacentral:piRNA from 1 species
UAAUUUCUUGGCAAACUCUGAGUGUGUGU